AAUAGAUACCCAGGUAGUCCACGCCGUAAACGGUGGGCACUAGGUGUGGGCAGCAUUCCACGUUGUCCGUGCCGUAGCUAACGCAUUAAGUGCCCCGCCUGGGGAGUACGGCCGCAAGGCUAAAACUCAAAGGAAUUGACGGGGGCCCGCACAAGCGGCGGAGCAUGUGGCUUAAUUCGACGCAACGCGAAGAACCUUACCAAGGCUUGACAUACACCGGAAACAUCCAGAGAUGGGUGCCCCCUUGUGGUCGGUGUACAGGUGGUGCAUGGCUGUCGUCAGCUCGUGCCGUGAGAUGUUGGGUUAAGUCCCGCAACGAGCGCAACCCUUGUCCCGUGUUGCCAGCAGGCCCUUGUGGUGCUGGGGACUCACGGGAGACCGCCGGGGUCAACUCGGAGGAAGGUGGGGACGACGUCAAGUCAUCAUGCCCCUUAUGUCUUGGGCUGCACACGUGCUACAAUGGCCGGUACAAAGAGCUGCGAUACCGUGAGGUGGAGCGAAUCUCAAAAAGCCGGUCUCAGUUCGGAUUGGGGUCUGACCG
rnacentral:rRNA from 1 species